CUUUCCUACUUUCACGGGGAUACGAUAGAUUGGAAUAGACUACGCACACCUGACCAACCUAUCCUAACGAGAGCCCGAUCGAACAGCGGCAUGGAGAACGCGCUCGGUGGCGUAGAGAGGCGGUAUCGAACGGGUACGCGUUGGCAUCGAGGGGGCGGCUACCGGGUACGGAACGACUACGGACGCACUCGGUGACGCCGAGCAACGGCCACGAUCAGGUACAGACGUCCGCGGCCGUGUCGAGCAGGAGCGGCGCGCCUACGGAUGUGUUCGGUGGCGUCGAGCGGCGCCCAAGAGGGGGUGCGGGCGUGUGCUGUUGCGUCGAGAGGCGCCCACGAACGGGAGGGGACGACCUCUUCGUAAGAUCACCGCUCCGACCACGACUUCUCUUCCACCUACCGAACACGUCCAGGACUCGUUCACCGAAUUACCGUCGUUGCCGGCCUCCUCCUCUACCUACGCACGUCCAGGACUUCCACAACUUACGUUCCUCGUACACUUGGACGAGAAGGAAGAGAACGACGACAACGUAGAACAAUACGUUAGAUACGAACGAAACGGUUUCACCUCUACCUUUACUUCAACAGUGGCUAAUUCCGUACACUCGGCCCUUCGCCCGGUCUUCUCGUUUCGGUUUUUGUCCCUUCAACAAGUAUGGCCACGUCACUUGGCUACUUGACUUGAAAGGUGUUCUCCAAGAGAUGUACAAACCGGUGACAAGUCUGUUAGAAAAAGAAAUAAUAAAGGAAAGCCUUGACACUAAGGACUCGUGAUGAACUAGGUCUCAUAAAUAAGGCCAGUCAUCCGAAAAGAAGACGCACGUCUCUUCUUCCUUUAACAGUUACCGUCGGAGAUCGAAAUAUCUACGAUCACGUAUAUUGUCAUAGUUUCAUUAGCUAAGAGAACGCAUGCAAACUUGUGCUUUCCUUUAUUAAUGUGUAGUACCAUCAGCGACUUAGGCUUAGAGGUCCAAAGUUAAAGGUUUUAGGAAACAAGUUCGCUUUCUUGUAAACGUGUUGUUGGUAUAAAAGAGGUCAAAACCCUGCCGUAGUCAAGAUGGGGGCUAUCAUUACGUGCGUUCAACCUACAUGAGUAAUAAGGCACCCGAGACGAGACCACUCAAGAAGGGAUAAAGGGAGAAACUAAUCAGUGGAGGUACACACGUUGGACUAGAGGGAAGUUACAAAUAGUACCAAAAUCACCAUCACACUGACAAUAAUUCAAAUAUUGAAAACACAAGAGAUCGUUCACACACACACACACACACACACACACACACACUAUACUUUAAUUCUAGGAAUUCCGCAUACAACAAAAUAUUUGAGUCGGUACAAAGAAUAGCAAUAUUAAUCCACCAUUUGAUUACCGGAAUCAAUAUACCGCGUGAGGUUAGGAGGGGUUUCCUUGUUUCGAACGUCGUAGAUAAAACCAAAUAAAUUUAGGAACGGUUUAUAAAAAGAAGACUGCUUUAAGGAACGUCUUAUAAUUACUGUAGUAUAUGAGAUUAAGAGACGAUCCCACUAAGUCGCACGAAUAAACUGUUAAGAUAGAUUAUAAAGGAGAACUAUGAUCUUUAGAUCACCCGUCAUGUCCCUACUGUAUACGUUGGUAACCCUCACAGACGAAUCACACAGCAGGAGUUGUCAACAAGCAUUGUAGAACGUGCUAAUACCACAACGAAUAUUUUUUACGAGCCAAGGUCUGUUAUUCUGUUGGCUCUAUACCAAAAUUUGACACAAUACAACUAACAUGGACACGCAACGAUGUCCAUAUACAGCAAACAAAUCUAUGAUGUAAAACAACCUUCCAAUGCUAAUCCGUGAUAAUAAAAGGAUACAAGUAACAAACACACGAAUACAUAACCGUAAACCUCUUAGGGAGAGUACCAUACAAGUACCUAGACGAAACGAAACAGUACGAUUGACUUGGGACUCAUUCUCAUUACACUGUUCGUGGCUACUUUUUUUUUUGAUCAUACAAGUACCUAGGCGAAAGUGGUAACCGAAGGAUUUUUUUAUUUUAGAUCAAAGUUUCCAGAGCGACACUCCUUCGGUUACCACUUUCGCCUAGCAGUUAGUUCAAUUGCCAAACUACCUAUAUUGAAAAAUUUUUAAGUAUAAAACUCAUUGGAAACAACCGAAAAUAAAUAGAAACAACUAUUUUUGUAUUUGUUUCUACUACCAGUGUUCUAAUAUGGUAGAGUUUCGAGAGAUAAGUCUCUUAUUAGCACAACAUUAGAACUGUAUUCUGUUUACAGAACUAUUUUGUGUAUACCUUUGCUCGAGUAUUUAGAAUCUCCUAUUUUAGAUCGGUGGCCCUCCUCGUUCUUUCCGUUAUCUCACUCGCUCUUCAUUUCGUUACUAGAAUACUUUGUAUACCUUUUUGUCUCAAAACCUCCAGAGAACUGGUGGUUUGUGGUGGGGUUUUUAUCGUGCCGUUUUGCGUUGGCGAUGGGAGGGCUUUAGGUGGGGACGACGGUGAUACUGAAGUUUUGCCUUACCGUUGGAGUUGAAAUGGUUGAAAUCCUAUCCAGGUCGUCUUGGGUAACACGAACGGAAAAUGGUCGUGUUGUAGCAGGGGACUUUUUCGUCCGAGGCCGAGGAGGGCUUUAAGUCAAAGGCCUAAGCGGAAGUAAAGGACGUGUGUCUGUACUUGCCUGAGUCUUUUAACUUCUUCCCCUAGUCGUCGUUCGCUCCGCUGGGGGUGCAGCGGGUUGUGCCGGUUUGAGGUAUACUACUUACCCUCCUCGUUGUUGCUAUAAUAAGCGGAAGUGGCAACCACUCGAGUAGUGGUACCUGCGGCGACCACUCGCGAAGUGGUGCCUACGGCGACCACUCGGGAAGUAACUCCUGCGAUGUCCGCUCAGGAAGUGGCGCCCGUGGUGGCCACUCGGGGUGCCCCAGUGGUUUCUGGGGUCCUCCCUCGGUCUUCUUCGUUCACGACCCGUUCCAUUUCUUGUUCCGAUUCUUUACCUACGUGGAAGACGUAGUGUUUUUCUUCGAAGGGGGCGUGCUACUCUACUACUACACCUGUGGUGCAUAGCCCGGGUCGAGCCUACUGUGGAUGCCGUCCCCCCCUGUUAUGCUACUACUACUCGCGGAACCUUGGGGUUCGUGCCGUGAUGUGGGUAGAAGUAAACGACUCAGUCUCAAGCUUGGACUCCAGAUGCACGUUCGUAGUAGUUCCGUCUUGUGCGGUCGGGGCUCGGGGUGGCGAACGGUCCUUGUUGGUAAGAAGUUCCAGUCGUCGUCCAAGCUCAGUCUUUACUUCCUUCGGUUACUUUACGACUACCUUAGCUUCUUCGACGCCCAGUUUUGUAGGUUCGUCUUCUGGCACUGUAAACGUGGCUAUGAUCUUAUGCCCGGUCUUUAGCUUUUGUUUCACACCUCGCUGUUCCUUGCGGGACUUAGCUGUUGGCUCUAUAAGUCUUUCCGUACACGAUGUCAUAAGGUCCGACGGGAGUUCUAUCAGAGACCUUAGGUUCUAUGUUACCAUCGUAUGUUAUAGCUGUUUUCCGUGUACCAUCUCUUUAAUCAUAGUCAAUUAUCCAUGGAAGACGAGUUUGACCUCGGAUCAGGUCUACUGCUUCGUGAACGCCUUCAGUAGUGACUCCGACAGGAUUUAGACAAUCUGCGCACCUGACUCUUACAGCUUUCCGGAAACUACGUCUCCCGCUUCUGUUAGAGAAGAACCAAGGACGUUCUUCCCUCUCAUCUUAAUGGAGGACAAAGCGACAGAUGUGCAGGAGCACGACGUGUUCCACGUCUUCUCAAGAUAAUUAAUCUCCUAAUUGGUGACGAACUUCGUUCUCUACUUGUGUCACUGUGCCGUAGCCAUCUCUCAAUAAGUGGAAUGUCAUAUAUCUACGACCUCCGCUUCUGGUUCUCGUACGGGGCUUAUUAUGAAACAAGCAUCUUAACUAUCAUUUUUGUAGAACACACAACAUUUUACUUUGGUUUUCCUCCAAAGAAAUGGAAACAUGUCCUCUCAUUUCAUUUCCUGAUGUUAGAACUAGUUCAAGGAGAAGUCUAUUUG
rnacentral:rRNA from 1 species